rnacentral:tRNA from 1 species
GCCAGGGUGGCCGAGCGGUUCUAGGCGCUACAGUCUGGAACGCUGCGGUCGCAGGUUCGAAUCCUGCCUCUGGCA